ACAGACUCGGGCGGGCACCUGAGGGGGUCGGUGUGGGGCCGGCGCUGUGACGGGAGCAGGCUGCAGCCCAGGCAGGGAUCUGGCUCCCUCAGAGGCAAGCUGGGCUGGCCGAGGAGGCAGUGAAGGCUCGAGGGAUCUGCUCAGGUGAUGGAGGAUGUGAAGAGUCAAGCCCGGGAUGGUGUUCUGCCCACACAGCCAAUGCCCAAGCUGUAGAGAGGAGCAGUAAAACUGGAUGCAGUCUCUUUGGCAUGUCUGUGGGACCUAACAACAUCAUGUUGGUGUGGCAGUGGUUACUGUGCUGUAGGACUUGUGAAAUGGAGUGCUACUACAGCCUUAAUCCAACAGCCUGGGCUAGCAGCCAGCACAGCGAGGUCUGUGUGAUAGCAGCCCAACAUGCUGAAAUCCCACAGCAGCAGUUGGCCAGUGUUGUAUGUUCUAUGGGACCCAGAGAGCACAUCCACACUGUGAGGCAAGAGGCAGACAUGUGGGUGCCACGAUGAUGGUCACAGCAUUGGAACCCUUCUCAGAACUCACAGAGCCACCACACUUGUGAACAGCAGAGCUCUGUCCGUGUUUUGCUCCCUUCCCUCUUACCCACGCUUCAUUUCUUUGGCUGGCAUUUCAGCAGAGGGGCUGUGGGUAGGGGAUGUGCUGUAACUGUGGGCUCAAAUAAUACUUUAAUUACAGUGACUGUGGGUGACAUUCAUUCCUAGCGGGUGUAUCACAGCUAUGGCUUCCGGAGAAAGCAGCCAGUGGAACUGCAACAGGUCCCUGACAGGGAGGGCCGUAUCCUCUACAGUCUGUACUCUCGAGCGGAUGCAGCUGUAUCCUCCUAACCAGGUUUGCACUUGCACUUUCCUUCUCCAGAGCCCAAACAAGUGCUGCACCUCUUCUUGCAGCACCAGUGACAACGGACAUCCCAAGUGUGCAUGCCCUGCAGAAAGUGCUCAGCAGGAACUAAACAUGUCUGCCUUCCCUCAGCAACCUAUCUGCCAAAAGCCUUGGCUUGUCUGCAAGAAGAGGCAGCUGGAGCACAAUUUAAGAGAGAACUGAUUAUAACGUGGCCUCUGCAAGCAAUGUCCACCCUCAGCAUGUCAACACCCUGAGAGACACCGGGAAGAAACUAGCCUGGAGUGCUGAUGUCAGAGGAAUCUGAUGGACACUGUGUGCGUCACUGCUUUGAGUGAGAGGAAAGGGUCAUCUCAGGGAGGGAGGGCAGACAGCAAACAAGGACCUCGAAGAUCACUUGCUCAGAGGAUGAGAGGGGAAAGAGGUCAGUUCCUGACCAGCAGCUCAAAACAAAUCCAUUGUUCUGAGUGAGACUGUAUCGUCCCUCUUUCACCAGGUGUUACCUGGAAAAUCCAUCUGUGGGUUCCCCCUCCUUUCCCUAUUCCUCUGCCCUGGCUGCUCGGGGAAUGGGGAAAUUCCUGAGACAGCUGUAAUGGCACCAGCUUCCUGGCCAGUCUCGCCUCACCUUCCUAGAGGAAAAAUAGCAGAUCUCAUCUGAUGCCCAGAGGAGGAAGCACCCGGCAGUCCCGAGACAGACCAUCUUUUUGGCAGAAGCACCACAUCCCAUGCAGGUCCAGUCCUCAUCUCAUGACUUCCUCUGCUGUCACCAUGGCGCCGUACAUAAACAUUGCGAACUCUCAGCCUUGAGCAGGUCAUUUAUUUCAAAUAUUCCAUGCAGCUGGAACACAAGCCUGUUUGGGUGUCUGGAGUCGAGCAUGAACUAAUUUCUCAGUCUUCUGCACUUGCCCCACCUUACGGGCCCUCCCCAGUCCGUUGUGCUCCCAGCACCCCUCCAAAUCACACUUCAGCAAAGCAGAGGCAGCCUUACCCUGAAGUUUGCAAGAAACAUUUUUCACUCAGGUCCCCCACUACCCGCAGCAGAACAAAACAGCAAUUAUUCAGCAUGCUGAGUACUUAACCUAGGAUCCACAAACAAUUGUCUUCUAUGAAUGGGAAAAACAAACAAGAUGAAGACUUCCAAAAUCAAAAAAAUUAUUGCCAUGACUGGAGAUGGAUAAGAAACAACUUUUUUUUAAAAGAAAAAAAAUCUCUCUCACCCAGUACCCUUAUAAGGAAGUUCACGAGCAUACUUCUGAGCUUUAGUUGAGCCUCACAUUUUGUAGUGUUUAUGUGAACUGAUGAAAUCAUUUGCUUUUCACACGCAAGUUGGUAGCUGCAGGCAAGAUGGAAAAGUACGAGGACAGGAGGCAGAAGUAAAGCCUUUGUCAUAACUGAUGUUAAGUUCAAAGCCAUCUCAGCUCUGAUCUGUCUGGAGCUGCUGAUAGAAUUUGAGAACACCUAUGUACUGCUCAGUACUGGAAGUAGAAGAGACUGAAGACCUUAAUAGCAAGCAAGAUACAGUUUCUGCUCCAGAAACAGUAUAAUCCACAACACUUCACAGCCCAGGAAUGAAGCCUCUUGUGCAAACAGAUCUGUCAAAAUUGACCACAACUUACAGCAGUGGGUAGGGAAUGACUAAAAAUUAACAUCAGGUGACUUGAGCUAAAUCAAGGUGGUAAGCUGAGAGUGUCCAGAACACACUGAAGUCAGACUUUCUGAGUGCACAUGUUCCAGUGCCAGCUCUCACCACUUGACUUGACCCACCACAGCACUUCCAGUAGUUUGUAUGCUGUGCUACUGGCUUGAGGAUCCAUUUUAUUUCACUUUUUGUCCACUGUCUCCCUUCCUAAGAGGGAAAGGAGAAGUCAGGUGGCAAAAUGAAGUGAUAGGUUAGAGCCUUGUUUCUAUAUGAGCUGCUCUUCUGGAAGAAAAAAAAAGCUUACCUGCUGCAAUAUAGGAAUAAAGCCUGACAAGAUAACUGGAGCCCUAGUCUAUUGAAUCCACUCAAAUCUCUUUGAAGAAUCAGGACUACAGUGGAGUAAUGAGUCAUGGAUUUUAUUCAGCUCCACCUUGAACAGCUGUCCUUAAGCACUAGGAGCAGACAUGCAUAACCUCAGGUUCCCACUCCCCACCUUAGCUGCACCUUGCCCUCCAUCAGCACAUCACUUUUAGAUGCCAGCUUUAAGUUGUUAUACCUGUUGGGGUUGGGUUCUUGGUAGGAAACUCACCAUUCACACAGACACUAGGUGUAGAAAACACAGAGCUUUUCAUACAAAUAAAAUGUAUAAUCAAGCAGUAUUUAAUAAAGUUUAUUAGGUUAUUGAGUAUUAUCUACAGCCAUAAAAUAGGAAGUGAGAGUUUAAAACUGUACAAAAUGUAAUGGAGAAGUGAGAAGAGAUGGAGACAGAAGAGCAUAAGAGUAUUAGAAGUGGGGAGAACACAGCUCCUUCCUAGGAGUUAGGGAAGACACUGGUUCAAGCUGAAGGCAACCAAGUAGAGUUCCAUACACAUUGUAUUUUAUUGUGCAAUUUGUGUCCCACCCUGCAACAGAAACUAGUACAAACCCCUAUGUUAAAAAAAACCAUAAAAUAUUAGAUUUAAAAAAGGGGCAUAUCACACCCCACCCAGUCUUGGCACCAAUUCUGUGCUUUAAAAAUAUACUAUGCAAGUAGUUAAUUUUAAAAAGGUACCCUACAGCAGCUGUUUAAAACAUGUUCUUAUACAUACACCACAAAUACAUAUAUUAACAUUUUCAACAACUAAACUCAUUUGUACCUACACAGAACUGAGGGAAUAACUCAAGAGCAAAAAAAAAAAACCAACCAUACAAACAUUUUUUCAAGACAAAGAAAUGUGCAAAAUAACCUCAGAAAGGCAGCAUAGUAACCUGCGGAGAGGUCAAGAGAGCAGCUCCUGCUAGUAAAGGAGCGUCAUCCUCUCUUUCCCUGGCUACUGAGGCAAGAAUCUAUUUGGGACGUGCUGAUUUUGCCUGAAUUGCUAGUCCUGUUUAUUGAAGGUCUCCCCUGCCAAACCCCCAGCUCUGGAGAGGUUCUCUUCUUGCUGUGCCUGAAGAUCAGCACAUUAAAGUCUCACAAGUUACAUUCUGUAGCAACCACUUUCUGGAUUUCUGGUCUUCCUAUGGCACUACUGUAGUCACACUGCUACCGCUUUCUCUGGGAUGACUUCCCCAAAUCCUAAGCAAGAAACAGAACUAUUCCUGCUGCAUAGCUAAGUGGAGAUUAUGCUGAUGGUCUACAGUAGAAGAAAGCCUGGUUUGGGUGACUAAGUGGUCUAUUCAGGAAGAAAAUUCCCUGGAAGUCAUUAGAGAACCACUACGUUUCUCUAAAGAUUUAACCUGGAACAGGCUAAACAGAAAGCAGACAUAAGAUGGCAAGACCUACAGCUGUAUAACAAGUCUCAGAGCUCAUGCAGCCUGUCUCACCAAGGAGUGCUUUGCAGGAAAUGUUUGUCCCUUCUUUGUCCCCACAUCAGCAAGGAACUAAAACCUACAGCUUUAAGUCAAGAGGAAGAGGGCAGGUGAAGACAUGAGGUGGCUGCUCAAUCAGCUGAGACACCCACUCAGAAGCAGCCGGACAGAGAAUAGAGCAGGAGAACUGAGAAGGUGAUGGUGAUAAACAGGAAAGCAAGAUUCACUCUCUAUGAAGUAACAUUAGAACACGGUGAGAGGUCCUGGCAGAGACAGA